GACGAACGCUGGCGGUGUGCUUAACACAUGCAAGUCGAACGGUAAGGCCCUUUCGGGGGUACACGAGUGGCGCACGGGUGAGUAACACGUGAGUAACCUGCCCUCAUCUCUGGGAUAACAGUCGGAAACGGUUGCUAAUACUGGAUAUGAGCUUGCAAGGCAUCUUGUGGGUUGGAAAGAUUUUUUUUGGUUGGGGAUGGACUCGCGGCCUAUCAGCUUGUUGGUGAGGUAGUGGCUCACCAAGGCUUCGACGGGUAGCCGGCCUGAGAGGGCGACCGGCCACAUUGGGACUGAGGUACGGCCCAAACUCCUACGGGAGGCAGCAGUGGGGAAUAUUGCACAAUGGACGGAAGUCUGAUGCAGCAACGCCGCGUGCGGGAUGACGGCCUUCGGGUUGUAAACCGCUUUCAAUUGUGACGAAGCUUUUUUGUGACGGUAGCAGUAGAAGAAGCACCGGCUAACUACGUG
rnacentral:rRNA from 1 species